AAUAGAUACCCUGGUAGUCCACGCCGUAAACGAUGGAUGCUAGCCGUCGGGGAGCUUGCUCUUCGGUGGCGCAGCUAACGCAUUAAGCAUCCCGCCUGGGGAGUACGGUCGCAAGAUUAAACUCAAAGAAUUGACGGGGCCCGCACAAGCGGUGGAGCAUGUGGCUUAAUUCGAAGCAACGCGCAGAACCUUACCAGCUCUUGACAUGUCUCGUAUGGGUACCGGAGACGGUAUCCUUCAGUUCGGCUGGCGAGAACACAGGUGCUGCAUGGCUGUCGUCAGCUCGUGUCGUGAGAUGUUGGGUUAAGUCCCGCAACGAGCGCAACCCUCGCCUCUAGUUGCCAUCAUUCGAGUUGGGCACUCUAGAGGGACUGCCGGUGAUAAGCCGAGAGGAAGGUGGGGAUGACGUCAAGUCCUCAUGGCCCUUACGGGCUGGGCUACACACGUGCUACAAUGGCGGUGACAAUGGGCAGCGAAGGGGCGACCCGGAGCUAAUCUCAAAAAGCCGU
rnacentral:rRNA from 1 species